GUGCCAGCAGCCGCGGUAAUACAGAGGGUGCAAGCGUUAAUCGGAUUUACUGGGCGUAAAGCGCGCGUAGGCGGCUAAUUAAGUCAAAUGUGAAAUCCCCGAGCUUAACUUGGGAAUUGCAUUCGAUACUGGUUAGCUAGAGUGUGGGAGAGGAUGGUAGAAUUCCAGGUGUAGCGGCGAAAUGCGUAGAGAUCUGGAAGAAUACCGAUGGCGAAGGCAGCCAUCUGGCCUAACACUGACGCUGAGGUGCGAAAGCAUGGGGAGCAAACAGGAUUAGAAACCCCUGUAGUCC
rnacentral:rRNA from 1 species